rnacentral:misc_RNA from 1 species
GAUGAAUUUUCAUCUGAAGAAAGCCGGUUACAAGAAAACUGUGGCAAAUUUUUCUUCUGACUUGAAGGAUGGGGAGGCCUAUGCUUACCUGCUUAAUGUACUUGCACCAGAGCAUUGCAGCCCAGCAACCUUGGAUGUCAAGGAUCCCACUGAGAGAGCUAACUUAGUUCUUGAGCAUGCGGAGAAAAUGGAUUGCAAAAGAUACCUAGAUCCUAAGGACAUAGUUGAAGGCUCAUCCAAUUUAAAUCUUGCUUUUGUUGCACAAAUAUUCCAUCAGAGGAGUGGAUUGUCUACAGACAGCAAGAAGGUAUCCUUUGCAGAGAUGAUGACAGACGAUGAGCUAAUUUCCAGAGAGGAGAGAUGCUUUCGAUUAUGGAUUAAUAGUCUUGGGAUAAACUCUUAUGUCAAUAAUUUGUUUGAAGAUGUAAGAAAUGGAUGGGUACUUCUGGAGGUGUUGGACAAGGUUUCUCCAGGAUCUGUUAAUUGGAAGCACGCAACGAAACCUCCAAUAAAGAUGCCGUUUAGGAAGGUUGAAAACUGCAACCAAGUUGUCAAGAUUGGGAAGCAGUUGAAGCUUUCCCUUGUAAAUGUGGGAGGAAACGAUUUUGUCCAAGGGAAUAAGAAGCUUAUACUUGCUUUCCUGUGGCAGUUGAUGAGGUUUAAUAUGCUUCAGCUUUUGAAGAACUUGAGAUCGCGUUUCCGAGGGAAGGAGAUUACUGAUGCUGAUAUUCUCUCUUGGGCAAACAAAAAAGUCAAAAACACUGGAAGAACAUCUAAAAUGGAGAGUUUUAAGGAUAAGAGCCUUUCAAAUGGAUUGUUCUUUCUCGAGCUUCUCAGUGCUGUGGAGCCAAGGGUUGUUAAUUGGAAUCUUGUCACCAAGGGUGAAAGUGAUGAGGAAAAGAAGUUGAAUGCUACCUAUAUCAUCAGUGUUGCACGGAAACUUGGGUGUUCUAUCUUUCUGUUGCCUGAGGAUAUCAUGGAGGUUAACCAAAAGAUGAUCCUCACUCUCACUGCCAGCAUCAUGUACUGGAGCCUUCAGCAGACAGCGGACGAUAUAGAGUCUCCUGCGAGUACUGUUGCAUCUGAUGCAUCACCAGCAAGAUCUAUGAAUGGCUCUAUGUCCCCCUAUACUGCUGCUUCACCUGAUGCAUCCCCUGCACCUUCAAUUAGUGGAGCAUCAUCAGCUACUCCUGACGCAUCUCCAGCACCAUCUGUAAACGGAGAUGAGGAAAGCCCACUUAUUACUGAAGUGUCAAAGUUGGAGUUGGUUGCUGACUAUGCACCAUCUGAUACUCCUGAAGUGUCAAAGUCGAAGUUGGCUGCUGAUGAUGCACCAUUUGAUGCCACUGAAGUUUCAAAGUUGAAGUUGGCUGCUAAC